GAGAACAACAGCUGCAUUACCAAAAAUGAAGUCAACCGUCCCAUAGACAUCGCAAUCGCGAUAGAAUUGUCGAAGUGAGUGGACGUAGAGGGUGUCUUGAUAGGCAAUAAAGCUACAUUGGUAGAACGCCGAUAGGUCGGAGCCGCUCCGCAGCGCCACCGCUUGGUGCUUGCUUGGUCCGGCAUAGUUCUCAAACGUAAUGCCUCUAGCUAAGAAUCCAUUUCCCACCACAGCAACGGUAGCUGAUCGGAAAGUAGUCCAUCCA
rnacentral:misc_RNA from 1 species